AUUGAACGCUGGCGGCAUGCUUUACACAUGCAAGUCGAACGGUAACAGGCCGCAAGGUGCUGACGAGUGGCGAACGGGUGAGUAAUGCAUCGGAACGUGCCCAGUCGUGGGGGAUAACGCAGCGAAAGCUGCGCUAAUACCGCAUACGAUCUAUGGAUGAAAGCGGGGGACCGUAAGGCCUCGCGCGAUUGGAGCGGCCGAUGUCAGAUUAGGUAGUUGGUGGGGUAAAGGCUCACCAAGCCAACGAUCUGUAGCUGGUCUGAGAGGACGACCAGACACACUGGGACUGAGACACGGCCCAGACUCAUACGGGAGGAAGCAGUGGGGAAUUUUGGACAAUGGGCGCAAGCCUGAUCCAGCAAUGCCGCGUGCAGGAAGAAGGCCUUCGGGUUGUAAACUGCUUUUGUACGGAACGAAACGGCUCUGGUUAAUACCUGGGGCUAAUGACGGUACCGUAAGAAUAAGCACCGGCUAACUACGUGCCAGCCGCCGCCGUAACAC
rnacentral:rRNA from 1 species